GCUGGGACUCCCGGGCAGCGAGUCGCCGGCGCCACCGCCGUUCGGGAGGCCGUUGAAGGCGGCCGCCGCCGGCCCUAGAGAGGGCUCGGACUCAGCCGCCGCUGCGUCGCCGGGCCACCCCCGAAGCUCCUGACCUCCACCGCGUAGCUCAAGGGAGCAGCCCCGGCAUGGAGAGCAAAAUCAGCUUCAAGAAGCACUUUGCAAGUCUGCAAGACUGGGUUGCACGUUCACUCUUGCAUUGAUUGGUUCAUUAUGUAUUUACUGAGUGCUCAGCCCUGUGCUCCUUUUGAUGCCUGGAGAUGAGCUGAAUAAAAUGUACCACAGUUGA